ACCCGGUUGAUCCUUCCCGUAGUCAUACGCUUGUUUCAAAGAUUAAGCCAUGCAUGUCUAAGUAUAAACAACUUUAUACUGUGAAACUGCGAAAGGCUCAUUAUAUCAGUUAUAGUUUAUUUGAUAGUACCUUACUACUUGGAUAACCGUAGUAAUUCUAGAGUUAAUACAUGCAUCAAAUCCCGACUUUUGGAAAGGAUGUAUUUUUUAGAUUGAAAACAAUGCAAGGGCAACCCUGGUAUUGUGGUGAGUCAUAAUAACUGUGCGGAUCGCAUGGCCUUGCGCCGGCGACAAAUCAUUUAAGUUUUUGCCCUAUUAGCUUUUGAUGGUAAGGUAUUUGCCUACCAUGGCAUUAACGGGUAACGGAGAAUUAGGGUUUGAUUCCGGAGAGGGAGCCUGAGAGACGGCUUCCACAUCCAAGGAAGGCAGCAGGCGGGUAAAUUACCCAAUCCCGACACAGGGAGGUAGUGACGAUAAAUAACAAUGCGGGGCUUUACAGUCCAGCAAUUGGAAAGGGAACAAUUUAAAUCCCUUAACGAGGAUCAAUU
rnacentral:rRNA from 1 species